rnacentral:rRNA from 1 species
CAGUCGAACGCUGAAGCUCCAGCUUGCUGGGGUGGAUGAGUGGCGAACGGGUGAGUAACACGUGAGUAACCUUCCCUUGACUCUGGGAUAAGCCCGGGAAACUGGGUCUAAUACCGGAUACGACCUCCUGCCGCAUGGUGUGGGGGUGGAAAGAUUUAUCGGUCUUGGAUGGACUCGCGGCCUAUCAGCUUGUUGGUGAGGUAAUGGCUCACCAAGGCGACGACGGGUAGCCGGCCUGAGAGGGUGACCGGCCACACUGGGACUGAGACACGGCCCAGACUCCUACGGGAGGCAGCAGUGGGGAAUAUUGCACAAUGGGCGCAAGCCUGAUGCAGCGACGCCGCGUGAGGGAUGACGGCCUUCGGGUUGUAAACCUCUUUCAGUAGGGAAGAAGCGAAAGUGACGGUACCUGCAGAAGAAGCGCCGGCUAACUACGUGCCAGCAGCCGCGGUAAUACGUAGGGCGCGAGCGUUAUCCGGAAUUAUUGGGCGUAAAGAGCUCGUAGGCGGUUUGUCGCGUCUGCCGUGAAAGUCCGGGGCUUAACCCCGGAUCUGCGGUGGGUACGGGCAGACUAGAGUGCAGUAGGGGAGACUGGAAUUCCUGGUGUAGCGGUGAAAUGCGCAGAUAUCAGGAGGAACACCG